GCCUUCGUGGUGUAGUGGCUAGCACGCUCGACGCGUAUUCGAGAGGUCCGUGGUUCGAGUCCUGGCGAGGGCA
rnacentral:tRNA from 1 species